CCUACGGGGGGCAGCAGUAGGGAAUAUUGGACAAUGGUUGCAAGACUGAUCCAGCCAUGCCGCGUGCAGGAAGAAGGCUUUCUGAGUUGUAAACUGCUUUUGCCAGGGGAUAAAAAGUCCCUGCGGGGAAAAUUGAAGGUACCUGGUGAAUAAGCCACGGCUAACUACGUGCCAGCAGCCGCGGUAAUACGUAGGUGGCAAGCGUUGUCCGGAUUUAUUGGGUUUAAAGGGUGCGUAGGCGGUGGAUUAAGUCAGUUGUGAAAUACUUCAGCUUAACUGGAGAGGUGCAAUUGAUACUGGUUUACUUGAGUACUGAUGAGGUAUGCGGAAUGGACGGUGUAGCGGUGAAAUGCUUAGAUAUCGUCCAGAACACCGAUAGCGAAGGCAGCAUACUAAGGAGUAACUGACGCUGAGGCACGAAAGUGUGGGGAUCAAACAGG
rnacentral:rRNA from 1 species